rnacentral:rRNA from 1 species
CCUACGGGAGGCUGCAGUAGGGAAUCUUCCGCAAUGGACGAAAGUCUGACGGAGCAACGCCGCGUGAACGAUGAAGGCCUUCGGGUCGUAAAGUUCUGUUGUUAGGGAAGAACAAGUACCGGAGUAACUGCCGGUACCUUGACGGUACCUAACCAGAAAGCCACGGCUAACUACGUGCCAGCAGCCGCGGUAAUACGUAGGUGGCAAGCGUUGUCCGGAAUUAUUGGGCGUAAAGCGCGCGCAGGCGGUCCUUUAAGUCUGAUGUGAAAGCCCACGGCUCAACCGUGGAGGGUCAUUGGAAACUGGGGGACUUGAGUGCAGAAGAGGAAAGCGGAAUUCCACGUGUAGCGGUGAAAUGCGUAGAGAUCCGGAAGAACACCAGAGGCGAAGGCGGCUCGCUGGACCUGUUCUGACGCUGAGGCGCGAAAGCGUGGGGAGCG